UGAGCUAUGAGGAUAAAAUAUUUAUACAGAAUUAUUGUGUUGACUUGUAUACGCUAUUCUGAGCCACCA